rnacentral:rRNA from 1 species
UACGUAGGGUGCAAGCGUUAAUCGGAAUUACUGGGCGUAAAGCGCGCGCAGGCGGUUUCUUAAGUCUGAUGUGAAAGCCCCCGGCUCAACCGGGGAGGGUCAUUGGAAACUGGGAAACUUGAGUGCAGAAGAGGAAAGUGGAAUUCCAAGUGUAGCGGUGAAAUGCGUAGAGAUUUGGAGGAACACCAGUGGCGAAGGCGACUUUCUGGUCUGUAACUGACGCUGAGGCGCGAAAGCGUGGGGAGCAAACAGG